CCCUAGCCGUAUCUCUCUGGAAACCAACCUACAAUUCGAAGAAAAAUCAUUUCACAUACAAGCUUCGCAUCAAAAUUUUUUUCAAUCUGCAGCAUACUAUGAACGAUUGAGCUUCUUUUCUCCUUCUCUUCUUUUAUUCUCCUUGUCGUGUUCAUAGCUUGCUCCACAACUAGCAAAACCACCACCUCCACAACUUAGCAAAACCACAGCAACAUCACCAGUACCGGAAUACUACCUAAGUUCUUGAAUCAAAGUUUGGGGUACUGUUGCCUUCUUUGGUGCUGGUGUAUCUUAUUUGAAAACAAGCUAGAUGCAGGAAGACAGAAUCAGACACAUGAAGACAUGAUCAGACCAUCACUAGCUCUUGUCAGCAGGAUACUGGAUUACUUGACAUCUCCCUUACGUAUUUCUUUUUGAGGAACUGAAGGGAGCUGUUGCAAGUGCGUUUGUUGAUUUUAGUACGCCACCCAACAGCGUGCCGAAUAUAACUGCCUCGCUAAUGAAAUAGUGGAUCUAAGUGGGAUGUUAUAUGAUGUAUAUGGAUUACUUUGGAGAUGUUUCACUAGGUCAUAUGAUUAGGUGGCAGAAAAUUAUGUAAACAAGAGACCUAACUAAAAUGCAGAUUAUGGCAGUUUUAGCAGAUUGAAUGCUUUAAUUCAGAUUUUUAAGCGUGACUUUGAGUUAUAAUUGCGAAAUG